UAGCUACCUUGGUGACCAAGUUAAGCCAACUUGGUUUCCAAGUUUAGCUAACUUGGUGACCAAGUUUAAUUCUCUAUAAAUACCACCAUGAUCUCUCCAUAAUCGCACAUCUCAUUCUAUCUUAUACAUAACUAUCUCAUAUUCAUCUCUCUCACUACACACGUAAACCAAGCUUUCUCUCACUAGAGUGUCUCGAGAGUAUAUCGUAGUAGUUAGUUCGUAGAAUCUGUUUCGGGUGUUGCGAAACGGUCUCAUCACGGUUGUAUCCUGGAAUUCAAAAAUCACAUAAAACUGUCACACAUUACGGGCGAUUUAUUGAGUUAAGGAAAGAGAUCAAAUCUCGACUUCGUGAAUUCGUCUAUUUCCUUACGAUUUCUUAAACGUUGUAAGUCUUUAUAUUAUCGUUUAUAUGCUUUUUUGUUUUGUAAUUUUCAAUCAGGAUUUUCUUGGUCCUACAAUCUUAACUCAAUAAAUCCGCUUCCAGCUUGUCGCUUGAAUCGGAUUGAAUAUUGCAAACAAUAUUUUAAAACGAUUUUAUAAAAUAGUUUUACAAAAACGUUUUUUAAUUCGAUCUGAAACAGUUCUAAACACGCUAUUUAGCUAUUCUUUAGAACGUUUUGGAAUAAAAAGACGAAUCAUAUUUAUAAAAUGAUUUACGCGACAUUCUUUGAAAGGCUCGCGAUCUCUUUUUCUAAAGAAAAAUAGUAUUUGAGAAGGCCUUUUGGAAAAUUCUGAAAAACGACUAUUAAAAAGUUAAGAACGUUUUUUUGCGAUUCUGAGAACAAAUAUUAAAAGUUCAAGAACGCUUUUGUGCGAUUCUGAGAACAAGUAUUAAAAGUUCAAGAACGCUGUUAUGCGAUUCUUAGGUCACAUAUUAAACGUUUAAGAACACUUUAAAGCGAUUAUGAGGACGAAUAUUAAAAGUUCAGGAACGUUUUUUAGCGAUUCCAAGAAUGAUUAUUAUCGUUUAAGAACGCUUUACACGACUUCUGAGAAUGCUUAUUUGAAUUGAGUUCUCAAUAACUACUACCAUUUGUAUUUUGUGAACAUAUUCAAUAAUGACUAUUGAUGUCAAUGACUUCAAGUCAAUAAAUGGGUUAAGUUUAAACUCAUAAGAUAAGUCUUGUAAAAUUUGGAUAAAUCUUAAAAGAUUGAGUUUAAUAUAAUUUUGAAUAAAUCUUUGAAGAUUAAAUUCUUAAUAUUUUUUGGAUAAAUAUUAUAAGACAAAGCUUUUUAAUACCUUUGGAUAAAUCUAAAUUUAAUGAUUGAGUCCAAAUAACUACAAUGGAUAAAUCCAAAUAUAAAGAUUGUGUCCAUAUAGAUAAAUCUAUAUAUAAAGAUUGUGUCUAAAUAAUUAUAAAAUAUUUAUUUUUGAAUAAAUCAAAUCUAUAUUUAGAUUGUGUUCAAAUAUUUUCUUUUGAAUAAAUCUAAAUUUUAAGAUGAAAGAUUGUGUUCAAAUAAUCAUGAAAUAUUUUAUUAUACGAAUAUAACCAGUGAGACGACAAACCUAUUGGGAAUGGUCAUCCACUUGGAUCGUCUUCAUGUGAAGAUUUGUCUACGCCUAGUAAAACCACUAUAUAAGCCUAUAGUGAGUUGAAUACUUUCAUGGAACUUUGAGUUUCCUUAUGGACAAAUCAAGGCAUAGAACAUACGCUCAAAGAGUUUUGCAAUGACAAAAUUUCUUUUGAUGAAUUAUAUGUUUAUCAUAUAUUAGUCAAAGAGCUGUGAUUCUUUAUGCAUGAGAGAACAACUGCAUGUAUAUUAAUUAAUUUGAUAUACUAGGUCUAUAGAUAAAUUGGAAAUUUUCAGUAAAAUCUAUCUCUCACAAGCAAAGGUUACGAGCUAUAAAAAUUGACUUUCAAGUAAGUCAAAUAUGCAAAUCACAAAACAUAUGAUAUUCACAUUUGUGAACAUAAAACAAAAGUGAUUGAGCAAAAGAACUAAGAAAGCCUAAUGUUCAUAUGAAAUUAUACAUUAAUUUUAGAAAGCAACUUGCUUAAAAGAAGUUCAAUAGAUAAUUUCAAAAAGCUGACACACAUCGUAGCAAGGAUGGCUAAUGUUGUAGCAAUAUUGGUUUACAUAGAGAAGAAGUGAAAUCUCAAACCAAUUUGAUAAAAACUGACACAUGAAGUGUAGUUUUGCGUCAAUGUUCCAUAAUAUAAUGGAAGAUAUAUGGCAACUUAAAUGAGAAUAAAUGUGUUCUUAAGAGAAUUAACAUUAUUCCUCAUAAUAAUUGCUUCUUAUUCAUUAGAAUCCAAUGAAAUUGCGGAACAAAAGUUCUAAACUCAUAACAGAUGAAUGCAAGCAUGCAUGAUCCUGAAUUAACUCAGGAAAUGUGGGGAAGUGUUGCUUACCACAUUCAAACAUUGGCAAAAAGCCAUGUACUUUGAAAAGGUAAUGUAAGUUAAUACAAAUACUUCAAAAUGUGGGCGUGCUUAGCAAAAUCCAUAACAAGGGUGUUAAAUUAUUUGCCAUACACCCUAAGUUAUGGGCUGUUCUAAGGUAAAAAAACCAAGAGUUUUAGAAAGAUACAAUGAUGCAUACUGGAUAUCUGAAUCUAAGAACUCGAAAUCCAUGAGUGGAGAUGUUUUUACACUUGGAGAUAAAACAAUAUCUUGGAAAUCUUCCAAAUAUGACCAGAUUCACAAUGUAAUCUGUGUUCGUUGCUUUAAACAAAUAAGUUGAAGAAGCAGAUUGAUUUCGUAAAUUUUAGAAGAUAUUACAAUGUCGGAGAAACCAUUUCAGCUAUACGCUUAGUCAAUUGGCGGAACUGGAUAUUCUUUAUAAUGGUAAGUCGCAUCACAUAAGACGACAUAAAACCAUUAGAAACUAUGAUCUCAAAACGUCAGCUGACAACCUUGUGGAUUAUUUACCAAAGGUUUAACAUGAGAUUAAGUAUCAAAAUCAUUAAAAGGGAUGGGAUUAUUACCUAUAAUUAAAGGAUGUUUGAUGGAAACCCUACCAGCGGGACUGGAGAUCCCAAGAAGUUGGUUCAAAGGGACAACUAAAUCAAACAAAAUCUGUUAAAGCGCUGAAACCUACCCAUAUCUCAAGAUGAUAACAAUGCUCCUGUAAAUUUAAGGUUAAGCAUUGGCUUUUAAUGAAAUAAGACCAUGACCUUCAUACACAUGUAUAUAAAGUAUUACAUGAUAUUUUAUUGUGUAUAUGAUAGGCGCCCAUGGCAAUCACCUAAUGAGUGUGAAAUGAUACCGUUUCUAGGAGAACAAAGUUAAGGCUAUACUCUCCAAGUUCACUCAUGACUAACCAGACAAGUUCACAGCCAAAAUGAACACAAUAGAGAACUUAACUCUACAAGAAAUCGCAGUUAUGUUAUAUCUGCUGACUCGGUUUACAUAAAAUUUCGGGGGGUUCAAGACAUCAUGUUCACCACCUGAAAAGUAAUUCUGACAGGUAUUAACAAUGAGUAGUUCAAAGCUGGAAAAUGCUACUACAUCAUAUACUGUUAGUUUUUCGCCUAUACUCUCGAAAAGUCCGUUUGUCAAGUCUAGUGUUAGGUCUAGUUGUAGAGUGAGUCUUAGUCUAUCUACUCUAUUAUUUAGAGUAAAUUUUUAUUCAUGUGGGGGAUGGUUGGACCAAUUAUUAUAAGCCCAAAGGGUUGAGUAAUAAAUGUGUUGUGUGAAUAGAAAAUCUUUUGCAAGCCCUAUGGGAUGAGUAAAAGAUUGAUUUUAUGUGAAUGAUUAUGGGAAUUAUUGGACUCAUUUUGCAAGCCCAAUGGGCUGAGUAAAUUUAAUGGGUUAAGGUUUUGAAUAUCUUAAAAAAAAAAGGAGUCAUCUUGGUGGCUAAAUUUAGCCACCUUCGUGACCAAGUGAAGCCAACUUGGUUUCCAAGUUUAGCUAACUUGGUGACCAAGUUUAUUUCUCUAUAAAUACCACCAUGAUCUCUCCAUAAUCUCACAUCUCAUUCUAUCUUAUACACAACUAUCUCAUAUUCAUCUCUCUCACUACACACAUAAACCAAGCUUUCUCUCACUAGAAAAAAAUACUCUAGAUUUUGUUUUUAGAGUAAGUGUGUCGAGAGUAUAUCGUAGUAGUUAGUUCGUAGAUUCUGUUUCGGGUGUUGCAAAACGGUCUAAUCACGGUUGUAUCAUGAGAUUCAAAAAUCGCAUAAAACCGUCACACAUUACGGGCGAUUUAUUGAGUUAAGGAAUGAUAUCAAAUCUCGACUCCGUGAAUUCGUCUAUUUCCUUACGAUUUCUUAAACAUUGUAAGUCUUUAUAUUAUCAUUUAUAUGCUUUUUGUUUCGUAAUUUUCAAUCACGGUUUUUGCGGUCCUACGCAAAGGACUAUAAAUUAUCAGAACAUCAAACUAAAUAUGAACGUUUGAUGACAAAGAGGAUGAUGAUCAAGGUUGGAAAAUAGAGUUCAAAACUAUAUACAUAUUACAAAAACAUAUGUUUGGUAGAUUUUGUCGUUAAUUCAUAGUAGUAGAGAAGUUAAGAUACAUUAAUGAUGAAUAUCUUCUUAAGCCUAUUUUGUAAUACUAGUCGUCAUAAAAUCAUCCUAAAAUUUUCAAGGUCAAAAAUCGUCGUAAAUAAAUUUCCGCAAAUAAAUUUAUUGUAUCUUUGACGUAACUCUUAUGAAGAAAGUAAUCGUCGUUACAUCUUUGUAAAAUUGUUGAUGGUAAAUUACCACUAAUCGUCAAUGAUAAAUUAUCGUCAAAAUGGUCUUUAACAUAAUUAAAUUAUCAUCGAAAUGGUCUUUAACAUAGUUAAAUGAUCGUUAAAUGAACAACUAUUUAAAAUCGGAUUCGGAUGUUAUUGAUUGUUAAUUUAACGAUGAUUUAACAUCAAUUUAUAAGAAAUAAUGUUAAUUCAUCAUUUAAUUAACAAUGAAUUAUCAUCGAAUGUUAGAUGUUUGCGAUUGUAAAAUGGUUGUUAUUACAAACUAUAUAAAAUUAGAGGAUAAACCAUAAAUCCAAAACACGAGUUCGACGUUUAAUAAAGAAAACAUUAAUGAGUGAUUCAAUAUGUGACAAUGGUAAACAAAAUGAUUACUCAGAUGAAGAUGUUGACUUUACACUAAUAUCAUAAAGGUUAAAAUAUCAUUACAGGAUAUCAAAUACAAUCUACAAUACUAAAAGCAAGAUAUAGAGAGCAGAGAAGCUGUCCAAGUUGGAUUUUUAAUUCGGUCCAAUCAGGAACAUGUAAUUUGACACGUCAGACGGGCCUCACAGAUCACAAAAAAAAAACCGUCGAAGGAUAAUGAUUAUCCUCACCUCUACCACUUCGUCUUCUCCGAUCGAAGAGCAAAGAAGCCGAGAACCACUUCUACACAAUCAAUACUUUUGUUUCAAUCAAUCAAUACCUUCUACUGAUCUUCUUUCUUUCGUACAAACCAAAACCAUAGAACCACUCAAAGCUCAAUCCAUGGCGAUGAAACCACAAUUACGGACGCUUCUCUCCAAUUCUCACCUGCUCCGAACAGGUACUGUUACAUUAAUAUUUGUUCAGUCUCAGAUUGGUCAGUCUUGUGUAGAUUGGUUUCACCAUAGUGUAUGGCUUUUGAUGAAAUUAUAUCAUGUUCUGCGAUGUUUCUAUGCAGUGAAGUUAUGAUAUUCAUUCGAUUUUGCUCUGUUUUUAUAAUAUGAAAGGCUUGAGCUUUCUAUGUUUUGGUCAUUCAUUACUCAUCUGUGAUUCUUGGUUUCACCAGAGUGUAAGGAUUUUGAUGAGAUCUUAUCAUGUUUUGCUCUGUUUCUAGUGGUGGAAAUUAUGAUAUUUCAUUCCAUUGCUCUGUUUGUUAGAACCUAAAAAACUCGAGCUUUCUUGGUUUUGGUCCAUUCACGUACAAAUCUCCUUUUUUACCUUUUUAUGGCUUUUGCUUUUUGAAUCAGAAAGUGAAAACAUAUAUUUGAGAGAUCUUUGAUAGGUCUUCAUCGAGAAUUAUAUAUUCUGUACAAAAGGUGAGAAUUCUGGAUCAUUUAUCAGUGUCUGACUCAUACACAUUGAUAAUCUUUCAAUCAUAAGAAAAUUAAAAUGGUCACCUAAAGAUAGUGCUACCCAUGAAUGUCAAAGCGUAUUGCAAUCUGUAUUCAGGCUUUUCAUUUAAACUUGGAAGACCAAGUUGCGUCUUAGCCAAUAUAAAGAUAAUGUAACUAAAUGACAAAACGGUCAACCAUCUGUUGUCUAACAGAAAAUAGAGACUUAUUUAGUUAGGUUUUGUUUUAAACAAAAACUUUAGGAGUUUCAUGAAGUUAUUGUUCAUAAAACUGUAUUCUAUGAAAUAUUUGAAAGAAAUGUGUUAUUCUCAUCUAAUAUCAAAUUGGGUGAUCCGAUAAUCUAAAAUUAUUCUCCAUAUAAGUAAUGUGUUUUCUCUUAUUUUUUUCAGCAAAAAGAGCUGUUAAUGUCACCAAAAUUGAUUCGAAUAUGUCGUAUGUGGCGUAUUUUCAAUCAUAAAAAAAAACCAGUAUCUUGGAACAUCGGUCCUUUGUAUUGACAUCAAGGUACGUGAUACUUUUAUUACUUUAUAAAUACAAUAAAAAUGCCACAACAAGAUUCACAACGGUUAUACAAAUAGAGGGAAAAAUCCCGAUGAUGCCUCUUACCACAUUCCAUCCCCUCCGAUACAAACAGUUGAUCGACAUAGCCACUGGUACCAACAACUUGCCAGGUAAACAACCACUUAUUUUGAUCAUUUCUUAAAAAGUAAAAUUUGACAUGAAAGACAAACAUUAUCCCAGAUGUGGUUGGACAAAUAAGAAUGUUUCAAGGUAACGAUUUCAAAAAUCCGAGGGCAACAACGGAGGUCAGACUUGGUCUACUACUAAACAUGUACCGAACUUUUUUUUUUUGAAAAAAAUGUACAUUAAACCCAACCGUUUAUUUAAAAUUUUGCGUAAAGCCAACUUAUAUAUAUUCACACAAUUCCUGCAGGUCAAAAAUGGCCCGCUUGACAAUAAUGGACAAUGUGUCUGCCCAGUUUAGAGACUUACAUAGCAUGACAGUCAUGAAAUACAAAGUUGUAAUCAUUACAAGCAUCAAUCCCACAGUAUUUAAAGGUAAUAAUUAUCAAUUAUUUUAGAGAUAUAUCUAGAUAUUGUUUAGUUAUUAGAAUGCAUAAACUUCCACUUCAACAUGUUUUUUAUAUAUUUAUAUGGAUUUUUGGUUUACUUUGUGGUUCACAAUGGCUUCUCGGUUUGAUAGAACAUAAAAUUGUCUUUAAAUUGUAACACCCUUUUUAUUCUUACAUGACUACAGGAAAACUGAUACUCGCCACAACUCCUGCUAUUCGAUUUUACUGUGACAGCACUAUUGAUCUCAUACAAAGCUUCAUCCGGAGAAACAAAGUUAGUAAUCACUCAUGAAGUGGUCAUCUAAACUUUGAGCUGAAGUCUACUACAAUAAUUCUCUCUAUAUUCUUGAUCUCUUAAAAAAAAUAUUUCACUUUCUAUCAAUCAAAGUUUUAUUAAACUUUCAUUUCCAAAAUUUUUUCAUGUUCUGAAUUUUUUGGGUUAUUAGAUAUUAAAAACUACAACAUUAAACCAAUACUUACAUUAACUUUUUUUUUGUAUUGUUUGCAACAUUUUUUCAUGAUUAGAAUUUCUAGAUUUGACAAUCUCAAUAGCAGAGAUAGAAGCAAUUUCCAGCAGAUAUAUGGAGUUCCAUGAGUUCUACGACCACCAAAAGAUAAGCCUAUAAGAUUGUUGAACACUGUAGUUUCACAACAACACUAAUAGAGAGUCAGGAACACACACACAAACCAUAUUUAACUUUUAUGCACCAUAAUAAGCAUACAUGUUGUGAUUGGAAACAAUUAAAUAUUUGACCACCAAAUAAUUCUGUCCUCAGCCCAUGAAGCUGUUUUAAAAGUUAAAACCCAACACAAUACUUCUUCUAGAUUUUUUAAGAAAUCACGACUCACAAAAUCUUCUAAGGAUACGUGGUUACUAAUUUUGUAAGGAAUCUUUAUAUAAAAUCCCAUAUUUACGAAAAAUCUUCAUCUGAAAAGGAAGGUAAUAUAUUUCAUUAAACCAACAUUUACAAUCUUUGACUAUAUCCUUUCAAAGGGAAAAGAAAUUUUUUUAAAAAAAUCAAACUCUCCCAAAAACUCAUAUUUCUCUUGCGUAGAAAAUAAAAAAUCUUAAAAAAUCCAUCUCUCCCAAAAAACUCAUAUGUCCCUUCGAUACGUCCAAGAAAUGUUCCCGUUUCCAAAGUAUCCUAAUACAUAUACCUAAUUUGUAAUAGAUUGGUUGUAAGGAUCGAUGUUUCAACGGAAUGGAUAACCCACCCAAUGACCAACCCAUAGAUACUGCAGGUAAAUAUAUAAUCUCUUGCCUCUCUCUCUCAGAAAAAGAAAAAAUUUGAAGGGUCCAGCAAUUUUUUUGUUUUUUUUUGGGGUUUCAGUUUCUUUUUGGUCAAAGAAUUGGAAUAUCCAAUCCAAAUUAAACCAUAAUUUAGUUUCAGUUAGCGAUUCUGCUCAUUCACCACAUAAAGUUUGCAAAGUAAAUUUUCAACUCAAAAUCCUUCAUAUAAGAAUGUGCCAAAAGAAUAUAAAAAUAUAAAUAUGAAAAGAAUUGAAGAUCAUAAUACCUAAAAGCUGAAUAUAAUUAAACAUAUAGAAAAAAAGAUGGCCCAAAAAUGAUUGGAAACAUAAAUGACAAAAUUUACAUUAUACAAAGAUAAACUUCUAAAUCGAGAAUAAAAAUAUAAUAAGAAGGAGGCUACAUCUAACUACAAAGACAAUAGAAAACAUGCAAUUAAACAGAAGGUUUAAGAAAUUAAAUUCUAUUGUAAAUACACAUUUGUGAGAGUAAUUAUAUAGGAUGAAAGAAUAAUUUUUUAUAAAAUUAUUGAACAUUAGCAAGUGGAAAAGAAAAUCAUGUAGGAACAAAGAACAUUAAUCCUAAAAUAUAUAAAUAUUUAAAUUAACAACCAUAUACGAUAUGUUAAAUAAUAUAAGCUAACUGCAAAUUAUCGUAGAUUAUCAUCUAAAAUUAAAAUAUUUAAAAGCAUUUUCCGCGCGUAGCGCGGUCAAAGGCUCUAGUAGCCAUUAAUAUUUGAUGAUAUGCUUAUCUUGAGUCAAAAAUAAUGGGCAAGAUAUUUUAAUGUCAUUUUUUAGGACAUGAUUAAGAUAUUCAUUGGAUAAAUAUGCGCCUUUAACAUGAUCAUAUAUACAUAUCUGGUUACUCUUAUUUGCAGCGGUAUACUGAAUCAAACACAAUAAAAAACAUUUCCAACAAGACAAGAUUUGACCUAUUUGAUUUUCUCUUUUGGAUGGCUGAUCUCUUUUUUGAUGGUAUAUAUGAUUUUAAGCCUAUAACAAAUUAUGCUUUUUUAUUUAUAUGGCUUCUCUUUAUCAGCCCAUCUUCAUGCAUUUUCCACGAAGAAGUGAAAAAUAUUUUUAAGAGCCUAUCUUGCCCAUAUUUCCAUGCUCACCUAGUUUCAAAAUAUUCCAACAGUCAUUUAUUCAUGAAAACUUAUGUGUUUUAGAAUAUAAAGUCGAAAACUUUUAACAAUGUAUCUAAUGGAUAACCAGACAACAUAACCAAUAACCAGUGUCAGUAAUGUGUAGAUUAUACACUCAUUAAAUAAUCGGGAUAUCAUCUUCAAUAACCAUCUUCAGUAUAUAUUAGCGAUUUUUCUGUGAUUUUCUAUAGCUUCUAACUAACAUAGUGGAUUACAAAUGACAUCGUGGAUAUUAAAUGUGGCAUCCAAUAUUUUAAUUAUGAAAAAAAAGAUCAUAAUUUUAAGAAAAACAAGGAAUAAAGGACAAAAGCCAUAUAUCCAUUUAGGUGAAGUAUUAUAUAUAACACCAAUUUGAAAAUUAAAAACAAGAAAACAACAUUUUCAUAUGUAUGGAAUAUUGGCUACAUGUAGAAAUGAUUAGAGAUAAUGAUUGUUAUACAAUAUUAACUAUAUAGCCAAAAAAUUAAAUGUGUUAGUUGUAGUAUAUAGUCUUUUUUAGAUUAUUCACAUGAGAUUCUUUAUUAAAUAUGCAGACCACUGAUUAGUGUUUGCUAGAACAGAUCUCCAUACCUAUCACUAGAUCUUGCAUAAAUUUGGUUCCUUACCACAUACUAAAUUCUCCCUCGCGAAAACUCUUUCCAUGUACAAGUUCUUCGGUGUUACCACCGUAUUGUCGAUAUACUGAACUGUUAGAUCCAGAGAAGGUAGAUCUACCAUCGUCGUCACACAGAUCUGGUUUAUUUCCGCUGUCUAGUUUUUCCCAUCAUUUUUUGUGUUAUUUUAAAAAACAAUAACAAAAAUUGAGAAACAUUAAGAAAGAGGAGAUAGCACAUCACUUUAUGUGAACUGUGCACUUGAUUGACCUCAAAACUUCAAAAUGACAUAAAGAUUGAAUGAAUAUAAAAAACAAAAAGUACUUAAGAAAUGAGUGUGAAGACGAAGAUGAGACUGAUUAUGCUGGAGAACAUAUACAGAAAAUAUGAUAACAACAAAUGCACAUGCAGUAUGAUCAUGUAUGCAUAACGACUAACAUCUAUUCAUGUGAAUAAAUUUGGCAUAAUAAGGAUAAGCUCGACAUUAUUUCUUAUACAUUUCUCUUGAAAAGUAGAUUUUUGUAGAUUUCAUUUCAUCUCAUUGAUAUUGAAAGCAAUUACUAUUUAAAUUAUGAUAAAAUAAUUUAAAAUAAAAUGAGAGUAACACUGGAUAAUUAAUACAUAAAAAACGCUGGAUAAAUAUGAUAAAAUAAUUUGGCAUAAUAUUGGCAUAAUAAGGGUAAGCUCGACAUUAUUUCUUAUACAUUUCUCUUGAAAAGUAGAUUUCAUUUCAUCUCAUUGAUACUGAAAGCAAUUACUAUUUAAAUUAUGAUAAAAUAAUUUAAAAUAAAAUGAGAGUAACACUGGAUAAUUAAUACAUAAAAAACGCUGGAUAAAUAUGUACCCUGUAUAAUACAUGUACACAAUUAUCCAUAAAAGAAAAACAAACAAACUCUUACUUAUACUGAUUAUACUUCCAUCUUGAACGAAGAACAACUCCAAAAAAAUAGGCAAUGCCUCGAGUUGAAAAUCACUUCUUCUUUUUUUUGAAAAAUCACUUUCAUUCAAUAAUAUAUACUAUAUUACCCUUCUUAUUUAUUUCUUUUUAUUAGUUUUUGCUUAUUUCUUUUCCUUUCAAUCUUAUUUCUUAAUAAAUUGUAAACUAUAUAAUAAAUUAUUUUUUAAAUUCAACUGAAAGAGUAGAAUAAUUUUGAUACAUAUAUAUGAUUUGAAUUUUUUGAAUCAGAUAAAUUUUAAUAUAUAUAUAAAUACAAUAAUAAUUAUUUUGUCAUACUGUGUUGAACAUAUUGUCAUUCUAUCGUAUAUGUUAAUAUUUUCUCAACGGUCAUAUAUUUUUUCAGUUAUAUGUUAUGUUGUCUAUCUAUAUUAUCUUACUAGUUCUAUACUAUUUUCUGAUUUUUAUAACAAAUCUAAUUAUAAAAAAUAUAAACCAAAUUUCCAGUUGAUAAAAUAUAUAUGUAAAUGAUUUUGUUUGUUUUAUGAUUUUAAAAAAAAUUAAUGUACUAUUUUUUAAAAAUAUUAAACAACUUGUAUUUGUUCAAAACAAAACUAUUUGUUUACAAAAAUUUAGUCCUUUCUUGCUCGCAGGCCCUGAGGAAGUGCACACUUUGUCCACUCUUGUGAACCGGCCCUGAUAAUAUUAUGUAUAUACCAUAUUGAGAAAGUAGAAUAAUAGUUAAAUUGUAUUAUAAUCUUGUUUUUAUAAUGAGAAAGAUAAAAAAAAUGAAAAAACAGUAAUUUAGUUAUUUUUCCAUGAUAAGCGGCUAACAGUGCCGGCUCAACCACAAGAUCGGGCAGUGCAACUGCCCCGGGCCCAUGAUAUUAGGAUUCAGUUUUAUUUAAAGAAAUUGUUUUUUUCAAAGAAAAAACAAAUUUUGUUAAAAAGAAAAAUAAAUUUACAUGUAUUUCUAAAUUUUUUUUAUAUGCUUUCAUACUAAAUUCAAUAACAUUUUAAAUAAUAUACUUUUUAAAAAAAUUAAACAAAAAUCAUAUUUUUAACUUUUAAAGAGUCUAAAUCUUCUUUUUUUUUUGCCUAAGAACCCUUAUAAACCAUGAGACGGCCCUGGUGGCUAAGUGCUAUAUUCUUCAUGAUUAUUGAGAACUUGAUUAGUUCACAAAUUCAUCCAUGAAAAAUAGUAUUUUACUAGAUCUCAAUCCGCGCAACCGCGCGGAUGUUUGCUUUUAAUUUUAUAUAAGUAGAUAUUUAUUUUAGAUCAUUAGGGGUAUACUGUUUAAAAAGUUAAUUAUAUAUUCAAAUGUUCAUAUAACUGUUUCAGAUACAAUAAUUUAAUAAUUUUAUAGUUUAUAUGUUGUAGUUAAUCAAUCAUUUCAAACCGUCAUAUGUAUUUGUUACUUCUUAUUAUAUAUUUAUUUUAUUGUAUUUGCGUUUAGUUAUUAAACAAUUAAUAUAUGCAUGAAACAACAUAUUUGACAAUUAAUUUUUUAUUUUAAUUUAUGCUAAAUUCUUACCCGUCUUUCAAAGCUGGAUAUUCUUUUAGCAAUAUUUUUUACUUUUAUUUAUUUUUGAUAAUAUAUUAUUGUAUAUAGAAAAAUCUUAAUUUUAUACAUGUAUUAAAUAUUUUCCUAAUAUUAAGUCAUUGUGUCGUCAUAUUAUAUUUUUAACAGGAAUAUUUUAUAUUUAAAAAAGUUUUAGUUCAAUAUAAUAAUUGUUUUUAGAUAAUUGAAUAUAUAUUAAUACAUGCUAAUUAAAAAAUUAGUGAAAAUAUUUACAUAAAAUUUUGAAUAUUAAAAUAUUUAUCAACAGAUUUGUUAGAAUACAUUUUAAAUAUAUAUAUUGUUGAAUGAAAAUAUAUCAUGAUUAAAGUAGUUACGAAUAUUUAUGUUAUUAGCUUUAAUGAAACACAUGUUAAUUUUUAUACAUUGUAUUAUAUAGUUUGUUAAUGUUAAACCGUCUUACCAAUGUAUUAUAUUCUUGAACAUAAAUAUUUAUAGUUAUGAUUGAUUAUGAUUAUAUAAGAGAUAAAAAUAAGAUAUAGUUUUUAUUUUUUUCGUUUUAUAAACAAUAACUGAAUAUACUAAUGUAUAAUAAUGUUUCAAAUUUAAUUUUUGAAAACUAAGAUCUUGUUAAAAUCUUUUCAUACAUAUUUGUUAGAUUUUUUAAUAUAUAUUUUUAUAUUUAAAAUGAAAAUAUAUUAUGAUUAAAGUAGUUCAAAGAUUCUAUGUGCUAUUAGUUUUAAUAAAAUACAUUUAUGAGGGGUUAUUGGGAAGGAAUUUUAAAAUUUAGAGAUUUCAUUGUUAUUGGUUAAUGAAUUCUUAAAAUUUUAUUAGAAUCCUUUGUUAUUGGUUUGUGGACUUUUAAAUUUUAUGGAAAUCCUAUGUUAUUCAAAAAGUUUAGUUUUUAUUGACUUUGCAAUUUUAUUAAACUCUUUUGUUAUUGGGACAUAAAUUUUCUCUAGUUUUACUCAUAACACUCAACUUUACAAAUAUCACAUAUAGUCAUAGGAUUCUCAAAAUCUAUGUACCAAAAACACAAAAACACAAACACAACAAGAUUUUUUACAUUUUUAUUGUCAAGUCAAAGAUAAUUGUAAAAAGAAAACUAAAGAUAAAAGAAAUUUAUAAAAAUAGCACUUUAAAAAAAAAUCUUUCAUGAAAUAUAACUAUUUGAUAUUAAAAUAAAAUCAUGAGAAAAUUCAUAGGUUGAUCUUAAAAGCUUUAAAACCAAAAUAAAAAAAGACAAAUCAAAAUGUCAAAAUAUUAAAAAACCAAAAAUUUAAUUUAAUUUUCAAAA